GGGGUUGUGGCUCAAUGGUAGAGCACUUGCCUAACAUGUGCGAGGUGCUGAGUUUGAUCCUCAGCACCACA
rnacentral:tRNA from 1 species